rnacentral:lncRNA from 1 species
GUAGUGACUGUUAUGAUGGUGAUGGUUGUUUUGAUGUGACGUUGCUUGAUAUUAGUAGUUUAAGGUGUUGAUUGUUUUGGUUGAAACAUGAAUGCAUGAUGAUUGACGAUGUGUUGGUGAUAGUUGGAGAUGUUAUUUGUUGUGAUGGUGGAGAUGGUUGCUAGUAAAGAUAAAUUGUUGUGAUGGUACUGGUUGAAGUGGUGGUAGAUGUGGCGUUACUAGUGACAAUGGUGGUGGCGGCCAAAGAAUGUGUAGAAGUUGUGAUGUAUUAGUGGUAGUUAGUGGUGGUGCUAGUUGUGAUAAAUGAGUUGGUUGGUAGUAGGGAUUGGCAGGUAGUGGUUUCUGAUUGAGGUGUUG